rfam:Helianthus annuus linkage group 3, whole genome shotgun sequence.
AUACCUUUCUCGGCCUUUUGGCUAAGAUCAAGUGUAGUAUCUGUUCUUAUCAGUUUAAUAUCUGAUAUGUGGGCCAUUGGCCCACUCGAUAUUAAUCUAAUUUUUUGUGGGGAAAGACCCAUCACAAUAGCUUGCUAUUGGGGUCUUUGAGUGUCGCCUUGGUUUUGCACUACUGCCUUGGCCUGGCGCACCCCUC